rnacentral:rRNA from 1 species
GAUGAACGCUAGCGGCAGGCUUAACACAUGCAAGUCGAGGGGCAGCGUGGAGCAGCAAUGCUCUGACGGCGACCGGCGGAAGGGUGCGUAACACGUGAGCGACUUGCCCGUCACAGGGGGAUAACCGGCGGAAACGGCGACUAAUACCCCAUAUGAUGCGAUGCUGCAUGGCAUUGCAUUGAAAGAUUCAUCGGUGGCGGAUAGGCUCGCGGGACAUUAGCUAGACGGCGGGGCAACGGCCCACCGUGGCGACGAUGUCUAGGGGUUCUGAGAGGAAGGUCCCCCCACAUUGGAACUGAGACACGGUCCAAACUCCUACGGGAGGCAGCAGUGAGGAAUAUUGGUCAAUGGACGAGAGUCUGAACCAGCCAAGUAGCGUGCAGGAUGACGGCCCUAUGGGUUGUAAACUGCUUUAUAAGGGAAUAAAGUGAGUCUCGUGAGGCUUUUUGCAUGUACCUUAUGAAUAAGGACCGGCUAAUUCCG